CCCUUAGAUGUUCUGGGCCGCACGCGUGCUACACUGAGUGGAUCAGCGGGUCAGGUUGCGCGAAAGCGUUUCCUAAUCUUUAAAUCCGCUCGUGAUGGGGAUUGACGGUUGCAAUUUUCUGUCAUGAACGAGGAAUACCUUGUAAGCGCGGGUCAUCAUCCCGCGCUGAAUACGUCCCUGCCCUUUGUACACACCGCCCGUCGCUCCUACCGAUUGCGUGCUACUGAAUAAUUCGGACUGCAGCAACGUUCGGUUCCUGAAUGUCGCAGUGGAAAGUUUAGUGAACCUUAUCACUUAGAGAAAAAAAAAGUCGUAACA
rnacentral:rRNA from 1 species